UACAGAGGGUGCGAGCGUUAAUCGGAAUUACUGGGCGUAAAGCGCACGUAGGUGGCUUGGCAAGUCGGGUGUGAAAUCCCCGGGCUCAACCUGGGAACUGCAUUCGAGACUGCCUUGCUCGAGUAUGGGAGAGGGAAGUGGAAUUUCCGGUGUAGCGGUGAAAUGCGUAGAUAUCGGAAGGAGCAUCAGUGGCGAAGGCGACUUCCUGGACCAAUACUGACACUCAGGUGCGAAAGCGUGGGGAGCAAACAGG
rnacentral:rRNA from 1 species